GCCCUGGAGGACGCUCAAUGCAGAGCUGCAGACUGGCCAUGGUGCCACCAUUUCCCAACCCGCACUGCCCUAAAUCACAUAGCUCCCCCCUUCCACUUCUGUCACACCACUUAUUUUGGUUAGGGUCACCUCUUUUUGAAACACCUCCUUCUUCCGUACUUCAAAGGGCUUUCUGCUCUAGAAAUAAUUCUGCCACCACAGCAUGAGCAAGAAAUAAUGAUUUCUGCAAGAGCUGUUCAAAGUCCCCUCCCGAUAGUGGCUUGAAUUUUUUACAAUGGUGUGGAAUGUGCAUCGAAUUGUUAAUCUGAUGGCUGUCGUGGCCUUGCACAAAUGACUACCUUCUAUAAAUAAAUUCCUGCCAGCGUGAUGAUAUAUUAGUAAUAAGAGUACAGAUAGAGCAUGUGUGUAAUGGAGCUGUUAUGGGUGGCACUGUGUAAUGUGGCACACAAAACCCUUACCUCAUUCAGGACAGAGGCUCAGGAAAGGAGUAUGCAGCCAGGUGAGGAGGCAGGGGGUCAGGCUAGUAACUUUUCACUGUUUUCACCUCUUUUUCCCUUAACAUUCCCCCGUAGUUCAGUGGAGAGACAGCCCCACAGACACGAAGCCACUGCGAACUGAGCUCCUUCCCCACUUCCCCCACAACCUCUAGUGCUGAAUGAAAAGUAGUUCGGAGACUCCCAGAACUCUCCAGAGAACAUAAAAUAGCCCUCACAGCCCCGGGUGCUCAGUCUGGGCAGAAAUUUACCUCAGGAUUUCCAGGAGAAGCGGGCACCCCUCACCCCAUAGCGGGCGCUCAUGGCGGCCCCACAGCACUCCCCCCCUCGCGUCCCUCUCCGCCCUUUUCGCUCCCGGACCCCAUUUCGCUGCAGCCUGCCGCACUUGGCCGUGUGGGAGGGAGGAGUAUCAGCUCUAUGCCCUGCCCAGCGGGCUCAGGACAAAGGCGGCUGCGUUUCUACCGCCACAGCCGUCCCGCCCGGGCUAGGCGGAGCCGUGCCCAAGCGCCGCUCCCCACCCGGGACGAGCCGCCCCUGCCCGCCCGGCGCUUUAACCGCCCGCCGUGGGUGUUGGCCGGGCGCAGUGCGCAUGAGAGAGGGGUCGGCUCCUCAGCAGAGCUCGCUUUGGGUUUUGAGGUUACUCCGAGAACCGGCUGUCCUUCGUCUGGUGUCCUUCCCGCACUCCGCUUUGUCCCCUCAGCUGCCUCAGCCAGGAGAGGCGCGGACUUCUGCCCGCAGCAGGGCUGACAGUUACCAGCCACUCGAGUUGUGGCACUGCAGGGCUGCGCUUCCAAGACAUUGUGCGGGCGCCUUCCCACGGGACACUCGUCGGUGCUGCAGAACAGAGGAGGGAGUGCUCGGCCGUGCCUCUGAAAUGAGCACAGCUAGCAACCCUACGUAA
rnacentral:lncRNA from 1 species